rnacentral:rRNA from 1 species
UACGUAGGGUGCAAGCGUUAAUCGGAAUUACUGGGCGUAAAGCGUGCGCAGGCGGUUUUGGAAGUCUGUCGUGAAAUCCCCGGGCUUAACCUGGGAAUUGCGAUGGAGACUGCAAGGCUAGAAUCUGGCAGAGGGGGGUAGAAUUCCACGUGUAGCAGUGAAAUGCGUAGAGAUGUGGAGGAACACCGAUGGCGAAGGCAGCCCCCUGGGUCAAGAUUGACGCUCAUGCACGAAAGCGUGGGGAGCAAACAGG